GGUCUGGUGGUCUAGUGGUAUGAUUCUCGCUUAGGGUCCACCCUACAGCUUCCCUGAGUAAUCAGGAUUUGAUAUGCGAGAGGUCCCGGGUUCAAUCCCCGGCCAGACCC